GAAAUUUGAAUUGAGAUCAGUUUUGAAAAAAGGGAAAGGGGGAUGUGAAAAAAAAAAUGGUGGGGGGGUUUAAUAUUUCUCAUUUCAGAUUUCAUAAAUAAAAAGAAAAUUUCUUCAAACAUUUUUUUGAGAGGAUUUAUAUUCAACAGCAUAGGGAUUGCUCAAAGACAAAAAAAUUAUUUUAAGUUCAUUAGACCACAUUCAUUCUGUGUCCAAAACCUAUGCUGUGUCAACUAUUUAAUCACAAUUCAAAUUUAGAGCUGAAUCCAGCUUGAAUGUUGUGUUCAUACUUGCCCCAACCGUUCAGGGUUCAACCUAUGCGGUCGUAUAAAGCUGCGCCCUGCGGAGCAUCUGGUUGGAUAAUGACAUGGUUCAAUAAAAUGAGGGCCAAGAUGAAUAAAUUGCAACCAAAAUCUAUAACUUGAAGAAAAAUAGACCAUCCAAGUCGAAAAGGAAAAACAAGAGAAAAAAAACAAAACACAACAGUCUUUACAAUACGAAGCAAAAUGGGUAAAGAAAAGAGCAACACAAUAACACAGAAAAACGGAAAUAACCGCAGGCGCAUGAUCAGGAAAAGGGCAACACAUAAAUGAAAAACGGGUAUGAUCGUAUGUGAUCAGGUAAAGAGCAACAAGAUAACACUUAAAAACGGGUAUGAUCGUAUGUGAUCAGGUAAAGAG
rnacentral:lncRNA from 1 species